ensembl:lncRNA
CGCGGAAGGGCUAUAAAAGCGAGAGUAACAGGGUCUCGUCUUCUGGCUCUAGAGGAAGAGAAACAAAUGUGGAAAACAGAAAAGGCCAAGUGGCAUCACAUCAACUCCUCUCUCAAUCAGUUAUCCUCUUAAUUUUACAGAUUAAGAACAAGUUUAGAGAGGUAAAGGGUAAAAUGGUUUGAAGGCACACACACCCAACCUUGUUCACUGCUGUUAUCUCCAGCAUAGAGAAACAGUGCAGCCUCUACAGAUACUGAAGUAAGGUCCAGAGGAAAGAAGGAGAGCUGUCUAUGGCCUCUUACCGUAUGGACACAGAUGGCUUCCCAUGCCAAACUCCUCUUCUGAUCUUCAGACCAGUGGGGCCAGAAGUUUGCUGAGCGUCCUCGGUGUCACCUUGUUACUGGAGUCCAAGCUUGCUCUGCUCGCCCCGGGACAGGCCAAUGACCGGAGACCAGGGGUUGAGGCAAGGAAUGCAACUUCAUUCGGAGAGCUGAUUGAGAAGCUGGUAGACUAUAUCUCAAAAUAACUACCUUGCCAGGUUGUUUUUAAUAGAUCAGCGAUGGGGGGAGGUGAGGAAACAAAGUAAAAAGGCCAUUGAUCUUGCAAAGAUUUCCUAGAACAGCGAGCCUCAGACAGGGGAUGUGUUAAUUUCUUACAUCUUGCCAUCUACAGGUGGACGGGGCUCUGAACAAAGGCACUUUAACAGUCAGGCAGAGGAGCAGGAUUCUCUGAGGCAGGGCUUACCAAUUAUUAUAAUAACAAGAGCAACGAAAAGCAAGUCUAAGAAACACCUCCAACAUGGAGUCAGAAUGGGCCUGCAACAACUUCACACCCAUAAAUUCAAGUCUGACCUUACGUUCUCCCAUAAGCCUGCUCUUUUUCCACUGAAUGGCACUGAGACACUCCAAGGACAGAAGCUGAGCUGUGCUGAAGGAGAUAAAAUGACCACUCCUGAGAUCAAGGAAGACUUCCCUGUCUGCACAUGUGCAGGAAGGCUCCUUAGGGGUCAAAAAGGGAGGGGGCGCCACCGCAUAGCAAGUGUGGACAAACCCCCUACAGGUUUCUGUGGUGGAAUCCAUCUUAGCAAAAAGUUCUGCAUGCAUGUUGAGGCGGGUUCUAGAACAGGUCAAGUGUGGGAAAAGAAAUGAAAUAACUGACCAAAGAUUGAAAAAAAAAAAAAAA